rnacentral:rRNA from 1 species
GAUGAACGCUAGCGGCAGGCCUAAUACAUGCAAGUCAAGGGGUUCAGCAAUGGACACCGGCGGACGGGUGCGUAACGCGUACACAACGUACCUCUGACUGGGGGAUAGCAUUGGGAAACUGGUGGUAAUACCCCAUAGCAUUGCGGAUUGGCAUUAAUCUGCAAUUAAAGUUUCGGCGGUCAGAGAUCGGUGUGCGUCCGAUUAGCUAGUUGGCGGGGUAACGGCCCACCAAGGCUACGAUCGGUAGGGGGUGUGAGAGCAUGACCCCCCACAUGGGUACUGAGACACGGACCCAACUCCUACGGGAGGCUG